rnacentral:rRNA from 1 species
GUAGUCUCGCACAGAUGCAUAUCAAUAAGCGGAGGAAAAGAAACUAACAAGGAUUCCCUUCAGUAACGGCGAGUGAAGCGGGAAGAGCUCAAAUUUGAAAUCUUGCAAGGUUUCACCUUUCACGAAUUGUAGUUUAAAGAAGUGUUUUCUGCUUAAGUAUUGGUAAUAAGUUCUUUGGAAUAGGACAUCAUAGAGGGUGAGAAUCCCGUAUGAUUGACCGAUUUUGUCAGCUUUGUGAUACACCUUUCAAAGAAUCGGGUUGUUUGGGAAUGCAGUCCCAAAAUGGGAUGGUAAAUUUCUUCUAAGGCUAAAUAUUGGCGAGAGACCGAUAGCGAACAAGUACCGUGAGGGAAAGAUGAAAAGAACUUUGAAAAGAGAGUUAAACAGUACGUGAAAUUGUCAAAAGGGAAGCGUUUGAACACCAGUGUUGUUUUCCUCGAAAAUCAAUUAAAAAUGAGCUCGAUUUUGUAUUGUAUUGAGACCUUAAAAGCUGCACUUUACAAUUUUUCUUGUCUUUUUUAAUGCACUUUUCGUUUAACAAGUCAACAUCAGUUUCUUUUGUUGUAAAAAGGUCAUUGGAAGGUGGCUUUCUUUUCGGAGAAAGUGUUUAUAGCCUUUGACUCCUGCAAUCGGAGAGACUGAGGUCUGCAGCGUAGAUCCUUCGGGGUUAGAUACAUUUGUGCUAAGAUUAUAGCUUUUUAUAGACAACUUGUUGACUAUGAUUAGUCUUGUAGCUUACUCGCUUAUGCUAUUUUACCUACGCUUAGGAUGUUGAAGAUGUAGCACAUCAU